CCUCUGUGUGCUCCUCUCCCUCUGACUGUCUGUGUGUUAGUGUGUGUGGUUCCUCUGUGUUGAUGAACGAUGAGAGGUCCCUACAAACGGAAGAACCGAGACUCUGAGGACCUCUCACCUGGUCCUGGUCCUGGUGAGAGCAGGACCAGCGGCCUACGGACAGGUGUGCGAUGCUUCAGCAGGAACAUGUACGUGGGCGUACGUGUCAGAAUGCCCGUUAAAGAGCUGCUGAAGAACAUCCGCGUGGCCAAGGGCGUUGACCCUCAACAAAUAAAGGAGAGAUGUGACAGUUCAGUGAAAGGAGAAAUGAAACGAGUGAAGAGUCGCUCCAAAGUGCAGAAGAUGAAGAUGAAGAUGAAGUGUGUGUGUGUAGUGUGUGUGUGUGUGUACUGUAGUGUGUGUGUGUGUGUGUGUACUGGAGUGUGUGUGUGCGAGAGUGUGUGUGUGUGUGUGUGUGUGUGCGGGAGGGGGUGUGUGUGUGUGUGUGUGGGUGUGCGUGUGUGUGUGUGUGUGUGUUCUCAGUGA
rnacentral:lncRNA from 1 species